GCGGUGUGCCUUAGGCAUGCAAGUCGAACGGUCCGCAAGGACAGUGGCAGACGGGUGAGUAACACGUAGGAAUCUACCUCGUAGUGGGGAAUAGCUCGCCGAAAGGCGGGGUAAUACCGCAUACGCCCUCCGGGGGAACGACGCAAGUCGCUAUGAGAGGAGCCUGCGAACUAUCAGCUUGUUGGUGGGGUAAUGGCCUACCAAGGCUACGACGGUUAGCCGAUGUGAGAGCAUGAUCGGCCACAAGGUUACUGAGACACGGAACCUACACCUACGGGUGGCAGCAACCGGGAAUUUUGCGCAAUGGGCGAAAGCCUGACGCAGCGACACCGCGUGCGGGAUGAAGUACUUAGGUAUGUAAACCGCUGUGGCGGGGGAUGAAUUUUGACAGUACCCCGCUAGAAAGCACUAGCUAACUACGUGCCAGAAGCUUCGGUAAUACGUAGAGUGCGAGCGUUAUCCGGGAUUUAUUGGGCGUAAAGGGUCAGUCGGCGUUCUUUUAAGUUUCUUGUUUAGCCUGAGGCUCACUUCAGAAAAGCAGAAAAACUGGGAGAAUAGAGUCUGUUCGAGGAACUAGAAUUCUUGGUGGAGGGGUGAAAUCCGUAGAUAU
rnacentral:rRNA from 1 species